rnacentral:lncRNA from 1 species
GUGUUUCGUAUAGGAGUUUGUUCAGGUCUUUUUCAUUGUUUUUUUUUUUUUUAAUAAGGCAGAAAUGACUGAUCAUUGUGUCUUUGUCUAAGUCAUGCUUCAUUGUUUUCAAGUACUUCUUUUUCCAAUGAAUUCUAAACAUAGAGUGCCUAUAAUCAGCUCAGUAUUGGAUUGAAAAGUGAAUUGAAAACUAUUGGCAGGAAUGGCUAUAAUUAUUAAAUUUACUGCAGAAUAAGGGAAGGUAGUGAAGUUGGCUUUUUGUCAAACAGCAGUAGUUUUAUUAGCAAAAAAAAAAUCUUCAUUUUCUGGGCAAGAGUGAAAAGAGGCAUCAAAGAUUCAUUCUGUAGUAAUUAUAGUUUCACCUAUACAUAUUAUGCAAAGCUAAUAUUUAAAGCAUUUGCCAAAAUUAACUUCCUCUGCGUGUCUUUUACAGCACAGUGAAUUGUGGCAGCUUUUUAUGGCCUGCAGCUUUUGUAUGCUGUAAUAAUCUGUAAUUAUGGGUUUGCAACAAAUGAUGUAGGAUUUGUUUAGUGUGAUAAUCUGAGAAGCUAACCUGGCUAGCUAGAUCUGUUUAAUGAAUGCUAGUUUUAAAUGCCUUAGAAGCAUUGGCAAAGGCGUCACUUUGCAUUUUGUCACCAGACUCAUUAUUUUAGAAUUUCAUUUUAAUUUUUAAAUUAGAGAAUCUUUGUCUUUUUUCUAUCUUAGGAGGUAAGUAUGAAAGAAAUAUUUUCUUUAGUCUACUGCUCAAAAAUCUAGAUAAAUCUAAUCAUUCAAUUAACAGGUUAAGAAAUUUUGAUCCUUUCAUAUAUAUUCAUAUAUCCUGAUUUUAGAGAAGCAACUUAGAAAAAAAUGAUUUUGCUCUUAUCUAAAUUUGUAAUUUAUUGUAUAAGUUUUUUCAGUGUUAAUAAUUAUAUCAGAUUGCAGCAGCUUUUUUCGGCAUCCUAUUUUUGUAGGCUGUCUAAGGCAGAUGGCGGGUGUUUAAGUAGAGAAGACUCUUUGGACGUUGUGGUUUCGAGCUGGGCCUUACUGUCUGUUCAGGCCAGCCUUGAGCUCCCGUUGCUCCUGCCUCAACCUACCCAAGUACAGAAUUACAUAAGUGCAUCUCCACGCACUCUUUAAAACUGAAUCCCCCUGUCCCAUCCUUUGGGAAGAGGAUGUGAGGGAAGACUAAAGCCUGGGCUUGGGGUUUAUAUUGUACAAAAUGAGCUAUGGCAUUCUUGGGUUCUUUAUAAGAAAGCUCACAGGGGGAAUUUCUAAAAGAUGUAUUCCUUAUAAUGCUAUUAAAAUUGAAUAGUUUAUAUUUAUUAUUCUGAGCAUUAUACAAAAGAGCUUUUAAUUCAUUUCUACAUGUAAGUAUAGGCUGUUCUUACAGAAUAACUGGAUUUAAGGAAAGGUUUUUGUUUUGUUUUGUUUUGUUUGUUUGUUUGUUUGAGCAAGCCAAACCUAAGUGUUCCUGUGAAUCUCAUUUUGUGCUUACAUCUGUUAAACUAUGCUCUCUUCUUUCCUCAUAUUGUAAACUUUUAUGUUCCUUAUAGAAGAUUCAUUGUUUAGAAAUAAGUCACCUCUUUAAACAUAUCACUCACCAGGAAAAGAAUAGAAAUUUUUUACUGC